GGGACAGAUAAGGACUGCUUUGAUUCUUUUAUACUGAACUGAUUUGAGGAAUGCGUGCAAAGUGUAGAGCCUAUAGUGGGCCAAGGCGAUGGGUUUCUCUCUCAUGAUUACACAGCCAGGCUGCAUCCUGUGGGGGUUAGCUGUUAUCCUUUACCUGGGAAGUAAGGUCAAACUAGGAUUCCAGCUUAUCCAGAAGACCAGCUGGAACACCUAGCCUCGUGGGACUGAGCAACUACCAGAUUCUAAACUUCUGAUUCACAGGUGUUCAUUGUUGGGUUAGAUGGACCACAGACUCUCCUGCCUUCCAGUUCCUGCCCUGUUUGAGUUCCUGUCCAGAUUUCCUUCAAUGAUACACACUAAGAUGUGGAAGUGUGUGGGGGCUGGAGAGAUGGCUCA